UAGUAAUCAUUUGACUGCAAUUCAAUUUUGAAUGAAGUUUCUGAGAAAGAGCUUCCCUAAAUACACAUCCAUAGGUGGCACAAGUAGAGCAUGUUAUGGAUAUAUAAAUCCAGGGCACCAGCCAUGCCUGAUCAAAUGUUCAUGCUGAUAAUCAAAGACUGUAUGGGGGGGGGGUUGGUCCUUAUUAGAAUAUUUACUUCAGGAAUCUAAUCUGCUUUUCAGAUCUUAUUUAGGAUCCUGUUUAGGAUCCUCCAUCCACAGGCAGAACUCGGUCUCUGUUGUGGUCUUGCCACAUAGCUGGGACGGACACCCUGACUGUAAAGUGUCCCUGCAGGAAGAUGGCUCUUCAGGAGUUACUGGAGACAAACAGAAACUUCUGGGAAGGAAUGGCAAAGCCAAAGUACAGCUGGCCAUAUGAACUACCCUGAUGCAAGUGUGGUCAAUGACCAGAACGAAGAAAAAGAAGCAGACUGGCUUUUUAACAAAUAUUUAUUAAAUAUAGAAGAUUAUAAUCCAGUCAGAGCUCCAAAAAAGGCCA